ACAGAGAACUUAACCUUAGGCAACCUGCCUCACUUCCCCUGGCCUCCGUUUCUUAUCUCCUGAAAUCGUGGUGUUAUCAAACCUCCUGAGGAUCAUCCUAGCCCUGUGUUGGACGCAUGUUGUAGACCAGGAGGAAACUUUCAAAGGUGUUUCUGCAACAUAGCUCCAGCUGGAGGUGCUGCUUAAACUCUUCAAGGUCAAGAUGAAUCAAACUCAGAGGAGGCUUUACCCCUGGACCAUGCAAGCUCCUGAGGUCUGGGAGGAACUGCUGACAGUGAAAGUGGAGAUGGAAAGUCGCCUCCCAAUGCAGGAAUCCCGACUGAGAUGGAGUAAUCCCCUCAGGGAUUUUUAACCGAGGGAAAUUUAUCUGAAAGCACUUUCGACAGGAGAUCCCUGGGCCCUGCGAGGCCCUCACCUGGCUCUGGGAGCUGUGUCAACACUGGCUGCGCCCUGAGACCCACAGCAAGGAGCAGAUCCUGGAGCUGCUGGUGCAGGAACUGUUUCUGAUCAUCCUCCCGAGAAGCUCCAGGCCUGGGUGCAGGAGCAGCACCUCGAGAGUGGGGACAAAGUGGUGGCUACCAUGCUGGUGGACCUGGAGAGGGAGCUAGAUGAAUCACAGCAUGAGGUGGUAGCUACACACAGGGGCAAGAAGUCCUCUCCAGAGGGACAGUGCCUCUGGGACAGCAGACAUCACUGAGGCUUCAGUCCCAGCCCAGAGGACCCCAGCCCACAUGGGAUGCUGCUCAGGAGGCCCAUCCCUGGAGAGACAGCCAUCUUUUCCUUUAUUCUGCCUUCCAAGCUGUAUCUAGAACCUACUGGGGACUCCUUUCUUCAGGACGCACAUCUGAGCAUGUCCUUGCUCCCAUCUGCCCAUUGCUCGCCGCCUCCCUCCAUCCAGUCAUCCAUUAAGCAUCGAAUAUGGCUGCUGGAGAGCACCCAAGGGCUCUCUUACAGGACUGUCACUACAGGUAUGCAUCUUAUACUCAGGAAGAGCCAGUUCUGUAAAGCAACACAGUGUCUGAGAUUACAAGGAUUAAUACACUUUCCAGCUCACAUUUUUCCUUAA
rnacentral:lncRNA from 1 species